rnacentral:rRNA from 1 species
UACGUAGGGCGCGAGCGUUGUCCGGAAUUAUUGGGCGUAAAGAGCUCGUAGGCGGCCUGUUGCGUCCGCUGUGAAAUCCCGGGGCUUAACCCCGGGCGUGCAGUGGAUACGGGCUGGCUGGAGGCAGGCAGGGGAGAACGGAAUUCCCGGUGUAGCGGUGAAAUGCGCAGAUAUCGGGAGGAACACCGGUGGCGAAGGCGGUCAUCGUCGA